GACAGAGGGUGCAAACGUUGUUCGGAAUUACUGGGCGUAAAGCGCGCGCAGGCGGUCCUUCAAGUCAGAGGUGAAAGCCCAGAGCUCAACUCUGGAAUGGCCUUUGAGACUAGAGGACUUGGGUACGGGAGAGGUGAGUGGAAUUCCGAGUGUAGAGGUGAAAUUCGUAGAUAUUCGGAAGAACACCAGUGGCGAAGGCGGCUCACUGGCCCGUUACCGACGCUCAGGCGCGACAGCGUGGGGAGCAAACAGG
rnacentral:rRNA from 1 species